rnacentral:rRNA from 1 species
UGGGGAAUUUUGGACAAUGGGCGAAAGCCUGAUCCAGCAAUGCCGCGUGUGUGAAGAAGGCCUUCGGGUUGUAAAGCACUUUUGUCCGGAAAGAAAUCCUUGGCUCUAAUACAGUCGGGGGAUGACGGUACCGGAAGAAUAAGCACCGGCUAACUACGUGCCAGCAGCCGCGGUAAUACGUAGGGUGCAAGCGUUAAUCGGAAUUACUGGGCGUAAAGUGUGCGCAGGCGGUUUGCUAAGACCGAUGUGAAAUCCCCGGGCUCAACCUGGGAACUGCAUUGGUGACUGGCAGGCUAGAGUAUGGCAGAGGGGGGUAGAAUUCCACGUGUAGCAGUGAAAUGCGUAGAGAUGUGGAGGAAUACCGAUGGCGAAGGCAGCCCCCUGGGCCAAUACUGACGCUCAUGCACGAAAGCGUGGGGAGCAAACAGGAUUAGAUACCCUGGUAGUCCACGCCCUAAACGAUGUCAACUAGUUGUUGGGGAUUCAUUUCCUUAGUAACGUAGCUAACGCGUGAAGUUGACCGCCUGGGGAGUACGGUCGCAAGAUUAAAACUCAAAUGAAUUG